AAGUCAAUGAAAGUAGUACAUCAUGCAAGUCUUUCAAAGGCUGGAUAUGAUAGAGCCCUGGAGAUGAUGGAUGAACUGCUUUUGCUACUUUCACGGUUGGAGCCAGAUAUUGAAGGUGAUGAUAGUACUAGUGAUGGCGAAGGAAUACAGGGCGACAGGAAUGAUGUAAGAGACAUGAUGGGAGAUAAUCUAACGACAAGAAUGGCGCAGGCUGGUGUAAUUCAAUUGGUGCCUACUUUACAAGAAGGUGGUGUGAGCGAUACCCAAUGUGUUAUGCCACAACAAAUAUUGGAACAG